rnacentral:snoRNA from 1 species
CCCAGCUGUAGGUGAUGGCCUAGGUUGCACUGUGCCUAGGCAAGUUUUCACUGUUGGGAAAAAAGCAACUAAUAACUGGAGGGCAUUCUGGGCCUGGUUAAUAACAAA